CGCCAAUCAGCAGCGAGGAUUGAUGGAAUUCACACCACGAUUCUGAGAACAACUCUUUGAACACUGGAGGAGGCAGUUGAGGAGGUCAUUUAUGAUUACUUUCCCUGUGGCAGACAAGAGGGAUGCUCCUGUAUGUGAGAGGUGGGGCUGUGAAUUUGUCUGAAGUUCUUCUCUGCCCAGCCAUAUAAUUGCAACAGAAUUGUAAAAUGUUGCAGAUGCAAACGGUGAAGUGGGGAGGGGUAUGAAGAACAAAGGAGAAGGCUUGCAAUGGUGAGGAAGGCAGGAGUCAUUUCAAUGAUAAAAGGUCAUAUGAAUGGAGUGAACAAAGAAACAAAUGGUAGAUCUACAGCUGCUGUAAAUGGCAACAGGAGAAUCAUCACCAGCACUUGGCUUGUGAAGAAUGGGAAGACUGGUAUGAUCUAAAAUGAUUAAACUUGAUAUUGGAUCCAGAAUGUUGCAAAGUGCCUAAAAAGGAUAUAUUUCCAGCAUCUGCAGUAUUUUGCUUUUUGACAUUCUUCUUUUGAGCUUUAUUUUGAAUGUUGAGCAGUUCAGGUGGAAGUGGGAUAAAGAAUUAAAAUGGCAAGUGCCAUGCUUGCUGAGUGAAGACAGGUGUUAGGAAAGCAAUCACCCAAUCCCUGUUGGAUCUCCUCAAUGUCAAGGAUGUUAGUGUUUCUGUUAAAUUUGUAUUCAGCAAGGUUCAACAAUAAGAUAAUUAGUUAUAAUAAGGUGAUAACCAUUUUAUUCCUUUGGAUACAAUAAAAAUAAAUUGGGAAAUGUGUCUAUAAUCUGACACAAAUUGACUGAAGUUCUUAUAUUUAAAUUUGAUCUAACAAAAAAUGUUGCUAGGAUCCAACUGUUUAAGAUUUCAUAAUUCUG